UACGUAGGUGACAAGCGUUGUCCGGAUUUACUGGGCGUAAAGAGCGCGCAGGCGGUCGUUCAAGUCGAGUGUGAAAGCCCCCGGCUCAACUGGGGAGGGUCAUUCGAUACUGAUCGACUCGAAGGCAGGAGAGGGAACUGGAAUUCCCGGUGUAGUGGUGAAAUGCGUAGAUAUCGGGAGGAACACCAGUGGCGAAGGCGACUUCCUGGCCUGUUCUUGACGCUGAGGCGCGAAAGCUAGGGGAGCAAACGGG
rnacentral:rRNA from 1 species